GAGAGCCGGAUACAUCGAGAGGUGUACGUCCGGUUCGGAGGGGAGCGCUUGGAAACCUGCCGCCGCAAUGAGGCAAGGCGCUGGGCGCUUACCCUAC
rnacentral:ncRNA from 1 species